rnacentral:lncRNA from 1 species
AAUCAGAGGAGCGCCUGGUCACUGAGCGCCGCUGGGUGGCUCGGGUUGCUGGCCAGCGCUGACCAAGUUUGGGAAGCCUAGGAUGGCAAAUCCCGAACGUCCAAAACUUUGUUGGGGUCCGUUGAGCCUGUGUCCCGGUGUCUUCCUGAAUCCCCUCUACCAUCACUACAUUCUGCCUUGCAGGCUUCAGGAGCAGGCACAGGGUUUUGGUGGGGGACUAGACAAAUACAGACGCGGAAUGAAAAUGCUCACUUUGCAAGUGAACGGUGGACACACGUACACACUGGGACCCAGGACAGGUGGUCCUGGGUGUUAAAACAUCUGAAGAGAGAGAUGGGGACGCUGGAAAGAAACCGGCUGUGGGAGCCAGGAGAAGGGCUGGGGAAAGAAGGAGAGGAGCAGCCUGAGGAAAGGCGAGUAAAGCAGCUGGCAAGGGCGGGAGGAAGAGGCUGCGCGCAGACCGAGCGGAGGAGAGGCUGGCAGGAGCGAGGAGAGCUGCAGGCGAGAGGGGGAGGCUGCUGGAAGGAAGCACCGGCGAACGCGGGCAGGGGAACUUCAGAGGAGGCUGCCAAAAAGGAAUGGAGCUGCAGCAGUGCGAGGCAGUGGACAAGGGGGGCAGCAACCACCAGCCCUUGGCAGCCAGCAGAGGGGAAGAUGAGCCCACGGGAAAGAAAAGCAGGCGAGGUUAAGAAUAAAGAGUGUUCCAGGUAUGACAGCUACCUCGGUGAGGUGGAAGAGAGAAUUAACAAAGCAGAUUUCAUGGGUGAGUUGGAAAAGCAAGAAGCAGGACUACAAGAGGUCAUAUGUGAAUAG